AGAGAAAUGAAUGAACUUUUGUACAUUGAACUUCUUGUAUCGUUGAAUAAAUGACAAAAGCAAAAAGUAGUUUAAUUUACUUGUUCAGGGAAAUUGCAAGUCUGACGAGAAGGUAAUGGCUAGUAGCUCUAUUUGGAACCUGCAAUUAUGAGAAACUAAAACAUGACCAAUCUACCUCAACGAAGGAAUAUUUUAACUUAUGACUAUUAUAGCAAAAGAGUUGUAAACGGUAUUAUCUAGUUCAAAAUUAACAUCAAUGCAAUACAACAAAAAUGAAAGAUGUUCAUACAUGCAAUAAAAUCAUCAUCAAGGAUUAGUGAAUCACGUGCAAGCAUCUUUUCAAGAAUCAAAAAGGAUGAUGAAAAAGUAACCAAGUCUAGAGCUUAAUCUCUAUGACAAUUCUUCUUUUACGUUGCAAUACUUUACACAUGCUAGCACAAGGAACAGGCAACUCAAAAUAUGAUGAUCAAAACAAUCACAUUCACAUGUCAGUACAUUGCAAGAAUGCACCGUCUACCAACCAAUAAGGUUCCAUAUUAUGAAGUAGAAAGGUUGAAAUUAUCACAAUCCUACCAAACUAAGACUCAUCCACAUGUUGAAAGUAUAUAUUAUAAAGAAAUUCUAGGGUCUUCGGGUUUGGAGGGACAAAGUAUCGAAAAUGAUAUGUGUAUUUUGUCUAAAGACGCCAUAAGUGCUAAUUAUGCAGCUUCACAUUCUUGGAACUCUUUAUAAAAAAAUAUCACACAUCUUACACCUUCUCAAGCCCUUCAAUUUACUAUAUAUUUUUGUACGUUUCUAGCUAAUAAAUAAGAAAAAUUGAAAGCUCCCAAAACAAAAUGCACAAAAAAAUAGAAAAAUAUAAACUACCUGUAAAUGUACAAUCCGAAUAGAGCCAUUGAGAAGGACGAACACAAAAGGAAGAAAUAAAAAUCGACGGUCUAGAUGUAGGAAUCUUCAAAUUGAUUGCGCAAUCUUCAAAAAAAAAAAAAAAAAACACGAAAAAUCAUUAUGAACAUCCAUUGAUACCAAGCAAUCAACAAAACAGAGAAAAGAGCAGUAGGCCAAAAUCUAGAGAAAGAGGAAGUUUAGCGCAAAUCAGACCCUUUAGGUUAGGGAUUCCAAUGGCUUAGGUUAGGGAUUCCAAUGGCUAUGUAUUUGGUCGGUAUUCCUAGGUUUUGUUAAAUUGAACUGAUAUAUUCAUUAUUUCCAUGUAGGUUCUCCAAUUAUAACCAAUGUUUUUUUCUCUUUACACCACUUAUCGAUCAUAAUCAAUGUUCUUCUCUUUGUACACAUCAAUUUUUCUACUUGAUUUUAUCUAAACUUAAUAGUUACCUUCUUUUUCCAAACUCUUGUUUAUGAAAAAUUACUCAACUUUAUCUAUUUUCGAAACAUCUCUCUACAUUAAUUAAUUACAACCAACUGCCAAUAUCGCUUUCAACAUUAAACAAUGAAAUAAUAGAUACUGUCCACCGAGUGUUUGAUACAAAAGCCAACAAAUAUACCACCUCAUAAACUAAAGCUAGUUCUAGUCCUCAACCAUUAGCGGCUAUUGGAUGUCGAUUCCUUUCCACAGGAACCACUGUCUCAGAAUUGCAUUAUCUUGAAUGUUUGUUUCAUGACCAUCCCCAGUAUGAUUAUUUGAUGAUUUCAGCGCAUCAAGUUCUUUCUUCAAUUUGGAAACCUUAGCAUCAAUUCUGUGCAGAGAACAUAGAUCACUAUAAAAGGUAAGAAACUCGACUUGGGUAAGCAUAAGUUACCCUUUUCGCCCUUACAAUUGCAAAACUUAUAGACCUAUCAAUUGGUAUAAAUGGGGAGAUUGAUGCUCUUAUUUAGAACACAUCCUUGCAUUUGUUAGUCUGAUAGGUUGCAGAGAAGAUCGAGCAACAGUAUUUCUUAACACACAGAAAUAGACAUUUAUCUGAUAACAAGAAUUAUUAAUUCCAUGACCAAGUGAUAUAUAUUAAUUCCAUUGAAUACCACUUACAAAAGUUGUACAAAUAUGUGAGCUACUUCAAAAAAUUUCGAUUAACAUAAUAACCCCUUUGAUUACCUGGAGUAAAUGAUAUUUUAUUUGUAAGUUUGACGUCACAAAAUGCCUUCCUAAAACUCAUGAGCCAGUGAUCCAAAAUUAUUCAAUCUUUUCGCUAUCGAUAUAAAUUCAAUGAAAUUUCAUACCCUUUUACAAGCAGAGAUUGGUUGAUGAACCAUGGGCUGCCCUACUGGUGAAAAAAAUGGCCUUGGAAUAUUUAAUAACAAUGGCCUAAAUCUAGUACUUGCACCCAAAAAUCUCAAUUAAAAAAAAAAAAAAAAUCUUAAUUUUUCCUAUAGAAAUAGUAAUAUCAACAAAAGGGUAAUCUUAUUCAAUCCGAAAAAUCCAAAUAUUUAGUUAAAACUAAAAUAUUUUCAAUAGUUAUAAUCAAUAUAAUAAAAGAACUCAUUAUUCCCUCUAAGAGCAAAUCAAUGCCACAUUGCAAUCAUACAUAGUGCAAUUAGUUAAUUAAAAAUGAAAGGUUGAACCCUAACCUUGAGAGCCCCCAUCGUCCCGUCCCUAGAGAUUUGUAAGGGAGGUAAAUCGCUCGAUGUGUCCCAGCGACCAAGGAACAAGAGCUGUCUGUGCACUGUGCUUACAAAGAGUUCAAUUCCAUGUCUCAGAAGUCAAAGAGGAAAGAAUAAAAAAAUAUAUAUAUAUAUAAACAAUAACCAUACCUCUUGUGGGUCCACCCAUUGUGAUCACAGCAACAACAAUUUCGUCCUUUCAACUUCCCAUUUCUCCACCAAAACAGAGCAAUAUCCAGAUCUCAAAAUUUUAUGUGCGACUUUCUAAUAAUUGAACACAGCUUAAAAUUCUACAAUAGCUUUUGAUCAUUAAUUUUUUUUUUGCCAAAUAUAAAAAUUUUGGAUGGAUUAUUUACAGGAGGGAAAAAAGCUAACGAUUGCUGGGAAACAUUUGGCAAAAAGUCUCUGAAAUAGCAGUAAAAGGUUUCUAUAAAACCUCUCCGGCGUACUGCUAUUUGUUGUUUCUUCAUCAAUCUUGAUUAAUUUCUUACACUACUUGGUAAAAAGCAUCCACACACUUCACUAGAUUAAGUUGCUAGAUAUUGGCUUCAAAUCAGAGUUUGUUUUCUUCUGUGUCAGAACAUUUUUAAAAAUUUAUUUUGGGAAAUCUCAAAAAUUCAACAGGGGUUUAUUUUUGUUCUUUCUUCAGAUUAUUUCCAAAAUCUAAAAUAUGACGGGAACUAACAUUGUCUUGACUACUAAAACUGAAAGAAUUGAGAAAGAAACAAAUCAAUUAACCUUUGGGGGCCUCAUCGUAAGCCUGGAUUCAACACAUCUCCAUUCCUCAUUUCUCUAUUCCUCCUAUUUUUAUUUUUUUUAAAUAACACACUUUACUUUGAUUUCACUCUAAUUCAAAGAUUUUUUAACAGAUAAGAACAUAAAAAAUUAAAAAAAAUUAAAAAAAAAAGUAGAAAUGAAAUGUAC
rnacentral:lncRNA from 1 species